UUUCCGUAGGUGAACCUGCGGAAGGAUCAUUACAGAGUUCAUGCCCUCACGGGUAGAUCUCCCACCCUUGAAUAUUUAUACCUUAGUUGCUUUGGCAGGCCGUGGAAACACCAUGGGCUCCGGCUUAUGCGUGCCUGCCAGAGGAAACAAACUCUGUUUUUAUUGAUGUCUGAGUACUUUUUAAUAGUAAAAACUUUCAACAACGGAUCUCUUGGUUCUG
rnacentral:misc_RNA from 1 species